AUGAGGAAAUAUCAUGAAUUCACUAAUAUAUCUCCAUGUGCUGUUCUUUAUGUCAUUGGUCCACCUUAUUCAAAAGAAUAUGGUCGAUACUGUUCAUAUUACAAAUAUUUCCCUCGCAUAUUUUUUUCAAUUUGCUAUUUUUCGAUUUGGUAUCGGUGUAUGUAUCUAUUGUUUUCAGUUAGAUUUUUAUCUUUUAUGGCUGGUGGAAUUCUUGUUUCUGUUUCUGUUUGCACCUCUAGUGCUUUAUUUGAAUAA